GGAGCCAAUACCUAAGCAGCACCAUGUAGAUGGGGGGGCAACAUUGACACAACAGGCCUGUCAAAGUGGGAUGGCCUGCACAGAGGAUACUGAGGAUCAGGUCUGUGCUCCAAAGGGUGCCCUGCUGCUCUGGCCUCUUUACCCAUGUCUCAUCAUAUACCAGGGUUUGGGGACAGUGACCUUGUAGGCAUCCCUGCCAUAGCCCUUCCUUCAUAGCUGCCUUUGCCAUGUCCACUGCCCAGGAACUGAUGGAUCAUCAGUAUCAGCUGGGCUGACAGAACAAUGAGAAAUGAGGACUUGGGACGUGUAUAAGACCCCUGAGUGGAGGAGCACAGACCUGACCGGAACCUCUGUCUCACGCUUGUGAAAGGCUCUUCCCUGACUUACAAAGCCAGAAUACAAGGCUCCAUGAGCACUGAAUGGCGGUUAUGAGCAGGCCGGCAGCCCUCACAAAAUGUCCCAAACUUGAGUCCCCAGCAUGAGGGGAUCAAGAAGAGGUGGGGCAGCCCAUUUGCUGUCUGUGUGUAAAGGGAGGAUUGGCAAUGGGGACCCUCUAGAGGCCACGCAGGGUCAUUGUAGGAGCUUAAGGGUUGGGCUCCCAGACCCACAUUCCCAUCCCAGAUCUGCCACUUAGGGGUUGGGUGAUCUUGGCCAAAUGAUUUUGCUGCUCUAGGCCCCCGCUUCAGGUUUUUUAACAUGAUUGCCAUUGUCUUCCUACCUCUGUCCCUGACACAUACAUGGGAUCCCACAAAGGCGUGGCUAGUGCCCUGCACACAAGUGACAGCCCUGCAGCAUUCACUCUGGCCCUGACAGUGAGAACACCGAUGGCUUAGACAAUGCUCGUGAGGCCUCAGAGUCUCUGAAAGACAGCAGGCCAUGCCCCGCAGUUGAAGUCUCCCUGAAAAACAAGCUAGGGCUGGGUCUCCUCAGCCAGCCUGAGACUAGCUGAAGUCACUGCACAGCUCAGCAGCACAUCCUGCGGCAAGCUCCGGGAAGCAAGCCUUGCUAGGAUGAUUUCACCGACUGGCAAGCUGCCCCACGAGCUCACCGGCUCACAGGCUCUUUUGGGCUCUGGGCCUAAAGGAAUUGCCAAUUUGGUGGAAUCCCAGCUGUGAUCAUUAUGAAAACUAAGGAUUGGUUUAGGCAAGUAGAUAUUUACUCUCAAAGUGCUAACACCCUCUUGAUGCUGCAAUGUGAAGGAACCAGGAUCCAUCCAGCAGGCAGUGAAGGUGGCCAGACCUCACCAGGAACUGUGUGGGCAAGAAAGGAAGGCAUGCUGUGCAGGGGCUUCUGCUCCCUGAAGAACGACCACCAAUUGAGUGGGGACUCUGCUGAGACUCUUAAAAUAACAUCCACAGCAGUGGAACAGGGCAAGCACAAGCCAAGGGACCUGGCAGGGACAGAAGGCUGCUGACUACACUUUGCCAGGCCCUUCCUGAGCCUCUCAGACACAGAUGUGAGAAUCUGGAACUGCCAACUAUCUAAAAAACCAGAGAGCAGAGAUUGGUACUGGCCCUGGGGGGCAUUGUGGUGAUUCUAGACAAACCCUUGUUUAAGGGGUAAUCAAGGUACCUAAGUGGCCCUGAGGAAGGCUCUGCUAAUGGGGCUCACCACAGUCUUGGGUGCCACCUGCAGGUCAUGAUGCUGGGGUGGGCUGCUGCGGCAGAGCUGGAGAGGCAGGGGCUAUGUACACAGAGAUGAGAUGCCCAGCUGGCCUGUGAAGCAAGCAGGUGGGGGAGGUGCUUGCCAAGGUUCCCGCCCACUACCAAGGGGGCAGCACCACAGGAAGGAGUCCAGGGAUGUGUUAUCUCUUCAAAUGAGAGCCACCAAAAGGGACUCAAGGCCCAAGGCCCACUUUCUGCUCCUUUCAGAUCUUGUGUGUCUGAAAGGGUUGGCACAGCCUAUUUAAAAUGACCCUGAUUUCAAAUACUAAAAGUCAACCCAAGGUUUCAUACCAAGUUUCAAGCCAGUCAGACUGAAAGAACACCAAGUUUCAAUUCUUUCACGUCAAUAGGGCAAAAGGGAUGAAUGAAAAAGCUCUUAAAGAAUGGCUCUAUCUACCUGGGCAGACAGUGCCCCAGCCUCCAUUCCUCCUCUUCUGGGGAAGCAAACUUUCUCUGGUACAGCUGACUGAAGACCUCAGAGAGGCCACAGACAGACAGAAAGACAGACAGACAGACAUGAACAGUGGGGUAAGUUUGCCAGGAACAUCGCAGAGCAUGUGAAAAGGACCCUCAUCCUGCCACCAGCUGGGCUGCUGUGGAUGGGACAGCCCAGGGGCUGGGUGAGUCAAGGUAGGGAGGACAAUGUGCCACAGUGCUGGGAAAAAGCUCUUGGAGAACAGGACCCCUGCAGUUGGAUAAGCUGGCAGGGCAGGCUGGCAGGGAGGGUUGUUUGGACUGCGGUGUAUAACCCAGAGCCACCCCGAUUCCUGAAGCAGGAAGCCCCUGCUCUGGGAGGCCCCUGAAGAGGGGCAGGAGGAAAAGGAAGGAUGCCGCUGACUACUGUCAUCUCUCUACUCCCAGCAGGCCCCUCUGCAAGGUCAUCUCUCAGGUUACCAGACCCACAGCCAAGGAAGGGCCAGUGUGCACAGGGAAGGCUUCUGGGAGAAGAGGUCACAGGUCAAAGGCUUCUUCUCUGGGGUGGGACCCCCAUCCAUCAGCCAUGUACCUUUGGGCAAGGACCACUCCCUGAGCCAUACUCCACCUGCUUCCCAGACAGCUGAACGCAGCCUAGCACCAUAAUGCACCACUCUCAUGCUGCCCAAGUGAACUGGGGAGUCUUUGAGUAUGUGUGGAGAGGGAAUUCUGGCCUCAGGAACAGCCUACAGGCCUGGCUCCAGUCCUACCUCCUCCACAGGAUCUUUGGGAUCCUGUGGCCCUAGGUUCAAAUGGGCUGACAUGCAACUUUGUGUGCUAAUGUCCUGUGCUGAGCCCUCAGAGGACCGGCUGGGUCUGCCUGUGCUCUACAGACAAAAGCUGCCAAGCCUGGUGGCAGAGGCAUUCUGUUCUCCUGCCUCGCCUAAUAGAGCAAGGCCAGAUGGGAGAAGUCAGAGUCAAGCUGUUUUUCUGUGGAGGAGCUUUUGGGUGAGGAGGGGGUUCUGGGCCCCCUGGUUCUGAGGCAGAGCAAGAGACAGAUGGAAAGCCUCUUUGAUGUAGGAGAGCCAGACUUAGCCUAAACUUCCUAUGGGGCUGGGUGGAGAGAGCUUUCCAGGGAAACAAGCACCCUGGAUGGAACCUCCAGGGACUGUCCACAGUCCAGGUAUCUAGCCUUGAGACUCAGGAGCUGAGAGCUGAUUUCUUUAGGGAGCUACUUGGAGGCCAACAGAAAAGAAGAAUGGCACUAGCAAGCAGGCUAUAGGUUGGCCUUGCUCUUUUUUUCAGAAUGUUCUUUUAAAAAUCUGCCCACACAAAACCUGCUCAUACUAAUUAAUAUUUGUGGCAAGAUUAUAAAUAUUUUAUUGUUACUGUUAAUUACUGGAAUGUUUCGUGUCUAUGCAUCUGGGCCACGCCAGCCUUCCCUCUGAAUCCUUAGGGGGAUGUGCGUCUGCCAGCCAAGUGCUUAUUAAACUGCCUCCCUCUAAGCUCCAGAACCUUCUACUUCCAGGGUGGGAUUUGCAGGAUCAACUGUAAAGGAAUGACAGCUGGCAAUGCAGAGGGAAAGAGACCUGGCUCAGUGACAGAAAGGCUGCCUGUCCCCACUCAGUGUGAGAAAAGACUCUGUGUUCUGAGUCCUCCUUGUUCAGGUCUGACUCAGCUCAGAUCCCUUGGACAAUCCCAGGAUUCCCAGGCCAGCCUAAAAGAGCUCUUUAGUUACAAGAUGCAACUUUCCAGUGUCUCUUUAAGUGUGUUUCCUCCAUUUGCUCCAGCAGUAAGACCAGAAACAGCUCACGGCCAUUUGUUCCAUCAGCCUGGGGCAGUGAAAGCCUGAGGAAGAAGAUGUAUGGUUGUGCUACUGCGACAGCUCUGACUAGUGCCCCAGAAAAGACCACAAAUGUCCUGCCGACCAGGAAACAACAGGUUUCUAAGAACCGUAAAUUUGGGUGGAAUUAGUAUUUUGAGAAAUUUUCUGACUAGACAAAAGCUGCCUCAGUCAAUCCUGGCCAACCACAGGAAAAGAACAUGUCCACCAGAAGCAAGGCUGGCCCGGGAAAUCGGGGUGCCCAUUGUCAGGCUGAGAAGACUGGAUGGAUGCCAAAGAAAAGUGGUACCAGAAACCUGGGGGCCCCUGAGAGAGAGGAAGAUACACAGCAGGCAGCAGGUGGGCAUGACGGCAUUGUGUGAGGGCCAGGCUGCACCACUUGUCCAUUCUUUGCCAGUGCUCACAGGUGAGGGCCAACUGAGCACUGCCAGUCACCUCGAAGCCUGGCAGACAUAUCAGAAGCCUGAUAUGUGUAGACACCAUGGUGCUGCCCUGAAGGGGCCUGAUGCUCAGAGGCCUCAUCAUGUAUCUCUCAUCCUGCCCUCUGAGCCAGGAAAGGCACUGACCAGGGAGGCCUCGGGAGGCUUUAAACAUUUUCCUGACCAAAGGCAGGUGAACAGCCCCUCUUGAUACAAAUGCCAGAAGCAGCGAAGCAGUUCUGUAAGUGAAGCAGUUCUGUAAGGUGUGAGGCUGGCAUCCCCCAGCCAUCUAGUGAGCUUCCCAGGAAGGCUCUUCAAAGGAUCAUGGGGGGAAAAUUGUGCCUUCCUUAGAGCCCAGAGAGAGAGAGAUCCUGUGACCACAUCACUCUCCCUACUGCCCACAGGAAAGAGCCCAACCCUCAGAGCCCAGCUGCUUUCCCAAGCUCUCUCCCCUCAAAGUCUCUUUUUCAUCCACCCCAGUCACCUCAGUAUCCAAAAGCUGUAGGACUCUCCAACCUCCAUGUCUAAAUGGGCCUGCAGGCCUCUCUAGAGACUCACCUUCUCCAGGAAUUCUUCCCAACCCACCAAACCCCAGAACUUGCUCCCGUCUGCCAGCUCAUGGCACUCCUCCUUGGCACCAACUACUGCCCCAUGAUACCAUGGGACAUCAGAUCCAACCUGGGAGCAGGAAUCAAGGCACCAUCAUCUUGACUUUCCCCAUGGCACCCUUUUCCAUGCCUGGCACACAACAGAUGCUCAAUAAAUGCCGUGACCAGCUAACUCCUAAAGGUUUUCAAAAAGCUAAGAAUGAAAGAAGAGAACAAAAGAGGUGAGUGGCUCUUCGCUGACAGCCUCCCCUGUCCCCUGCCCGUCAGGAACAAGCAGAACAAACUGAGCUCCACUUACAGUCUCUCCCACUUUGAGAAGGUCUGUUUAGGAACGGCAUUCCAACCAGAAACUGACCUCCCCUUAGCCCUAGGAGGGGAGGUCACUGAGCAGAGGCCAGGGUGGGCCUGCCCUUUAGGAAUGACUGGCAUUCACAGCUCCCCGUCC
rnacentral:lncRNA from 1 species